CUGUUUACCAAAAACAUCGCCUCUUGCAGUCAUAGUAUAAGAGGUCCUGCCUGCCCAGUGACAUUUAGUUUAACGGCCGCGGUAUUAUGACCGUGCAAAGGUAGCGUAAUCACUUGUCUUUUAAAUAAAGACCAGUAUGAAUGGCAACACGAAAGUUCAACUGUCUCCCUAAAUUAAUCAGUGAAAUUGAUUUUCCCGUGCAGAAGCGGGAAUAAUAUUAUAAGACGAGAAGACCCUAUGGAGCUUUAAAUAUAUGAUCAAUUGUAUGACAUUCACCCCAAAAGACAACACAUUAAAUAAAACAUUAUGAUCAAAAUUUUAGGUUGGGGCGACCACGGAGAAAAGAAAAGCCUCCGAGAUGAAAAGAAUACCUUAAUUUAUGAAUUACAAUUCUAAAAAAUAAAAUAUUUAACAUAAUUGAUCCAAUAGUUUGAUCAACGAACUAAGUUACCCUAGGGAUAACAGCGCAAUCCUUUCCGAGAGUCCUUAUCGACGAAUGGGUUUACGACCUCGAUGUUGGAUCAGGACACCCCCAAUGGUGCAGUCGCUUUAAGGGUCGUUUGGUCAAACGAUUAAAGUCUACGUGAUCUGAGUUCAAACCCGG
rnacentral:rRNA from 1 species